GACGAACGCUGGCGGCGUGCUUAACACAUGCAAGUCGAACGGAAAGGCCCUGCUUUUGUGGGGUGCUCGAGUGGCGAACGGGUGAGUAACACGUGAGUAACCUGCCCUUGACUUUGGGAUAACUUCAGGAAACUGGGGCUAAUACCGGAUAGGAGCUCCUGCUGCAUGGUGGGGGUUGGAAAGUUUCGGCGGUUGGGGAUGGACUCGCGGCUUAUCAGCUUGUUGGUGGGGUAGUGGCUUACCAAGGCUUUGACGGGUAGCCGGCCUGAGAGGGUGACCGGCCACAUUGGGACUGAGAUACGGCCCAGACUCCUACAGGAGGCAGCAGUGGGGAAUAUUGCACAAUGGGCGGAAGCCUGAUGCAGCAACGCCGCGUGCGGGAUGAUGGCCUUCGGGUUGUAAACCGCUUUCGCCUGUGACGAAGCGUGAGUGACGGUAAUGGGUAAAGAAGCACCGGCUAACUACGUG
rnacentral:rRNA from 1 species